GAUGAACGCUGGCGGCGUGCCUAAUACAUGCAAGUAGAACGCUGAAGGAAGGAGCUUGCUCUUUCCGGAUGAGUUGCGAACGGGUGAGUAACGCGUAGGUAACCUGCCUGGUAGCGGGGGAUAACUAUUGGAAACGAUAGCUAAUACCGCAUAACAGUAGAUGUUGCAUGAUAUCUACUUAAAAGGUGCAAUUGCACCACUACCAGAUGGACCUGCGUUGUAUUAGCUAGUUGGUGAGGUAACGGCUCACCAAGGCGACGAUACAUAGCCGACCUGAGAGGGUGAUCGGCCACACUGGGACUGAGACGCGGCCCAGACUCCUACGGGAGGCAGCAGUAGGGAAUCUUCGGCAAUGGACGGAAGUCUGACCGAGCAACGCCGCGUGAGUGAAGAAGGUUUUCGGAUCGUAAAGCUCUGUUGUAAGAGAAGAACGAGUGUGAGAGUGGAAAGUUCACACUGUGACGGUAUCUUACCAGAAAGGGACGGCUAACUACGUG
rnacentral:rRNA from 1 species